rnacentral:rRNA from 1 species
AACCUACGGGACGCAGCAGUGGGGAAUAUUGCACAAUGGGGGGAACCCUGAUGCAGCGACGCCGCGUGAGUGAAGAAGUAUUUCGGUAUGUAAAGCUCUGUCAGCAGGGAAGAAGAAAGACGGCACCUGACCAAGAAGCCCCGGCUAACUACGUGCCAGCAGCCGCGGUAAUACGUAGGUGGCAAGCGUUAUCCGGAUUUACUGGGUGUAAAGGGCGUGUAGGCGGGGAAGCAAGUCAGAUGUGAAAACCACGGGCUCAACCUGUGGCCCGCAUUUGAAACUGUGUUUCUUGAGUACUGGAUGGG